rnacentral:misc_RNA from 1 species
GGUUAGAGGAUGGAAAUGAAUUGAAUUGUGGAGUAUUAUUAGGGUUUAUCAGUUCAAGAGGCAUACUAUUAAAACUUAAAAGCCCUGAUGAAUCAGAGAAUGGGCUUGAUCUUAGACCCAAUCGCAGUUGCAGAAACAUGAUACAAAUAUAUACAUAUAAAGCCCAGCUUGAUCGAACAGAGCGCGUCCAGUACACCACUUUUUAGUGCAAAUAGCCGAAAAGAGGACCGAAGGCUUUUCAGACCUGCAAAGCUAAGCGAAAAGAAAUGGCGGGAAAGGAAGAAGCUGCACCGUCUUCUGCUUCAAUGAAAAUGCAGGAUUCUCCAGUGUGUUGGCGAAAGCAGGUAGACGAUAACCUGAAGCGGCUCCACUCGCUUCAGUUCGGCGUCGACUUGGCUCUUGAGAGGCGCGACUUCUCUGCCGCUCAUGUCCUCGGGCUUCGCCUCCUCGGCUUCCUUGACUCGCAUUCUCUCACCGACGUUGAUGAGGCCCUCACUCGACCGAUCCGCCGUGAAGCUGUUUCCAAGCUUGACGCAGCUCGUCAAUCCCUUAUUCCUGAAUCUGAUCGCCGAGCAUUUGAACAGGCAGGCAGAGCUCCUGGCCAUGUGUUUAGCAGGAAAGGUGAUAUUGACAUUGAGAAGAUUAAGCAGUCAAAGUACUUCCGUGCUUUGCUUCACCAAUAUAAUAUAAGGCCAACAAAUGGAAUGGGAGACCAAUUGGAUGGGAAGGAGAGGUUGAUCUGCAAGACGUCAAAGGUCAUAACACAGACAAAGUUGACGUCCUUGUAUGGGAACAACAUCACAAAGGCAAAUACCGGUUCACAUACGAGUUCUAUCAACUCAAAAACAAACAACUCUGAUGAGUGCAUGGUCAUAGAAAGGGCUCAUUCAUAUCACAACCAUUCUAAAGGUCAUGGUCUCUAUGCUUGCAUAAAAAAUGAGGAGGAAGAAAGAGGUUUUGGAAAUGCUUUGGGAUCAAAACGUUCACAUGAGGAAAUCAAUAGCCCCAAAAAUGACAGUGCAAAGUCACCAUCAAGCAAUGAAGAAGCUAACACAGAUGCUUCUGGCAAUGGAUUCGUAACUGCAAGAGCAAAAUUGGAGAUGGAUGCAAGGCAAAGAAGAGGGUUGACAGGAUCACCCAGUGCAUCUGUCUCCCCACAAAGUGAUAACAUAAACAGGGGCUAUGGUGUGAGAUCAUAUGGCUUUUCACGACGUGGCAUUCGUGGUAACUUUGUUCCUCCAAUAAGAUCCAAUGGAGGCAGCAAUGGAAACACGACUACACGAGUUGCAGGAAAAAGCGAUGAUGCAUUAGAUGACUCAACAAGGAGAUGUUUGGAGAUGCUAUGUGGUGCUGAUGGUGAGCUUCCUGAAAAAUUGAGGAAUUUGGAACCUCGUCUUAUUGAGCAUGUUAGCAAUGAGAUUAUGGAUCGGGAUCCUAAUGUCCGGUGGGAUGACAUUGCUGGUCUGGAGCAUGCUAAAAAAUGUGUGACUGAGAUGGUCAUAUGGCCUUUAUUACGUCCUGACAUAUUUAAAGGUUGUCGUUCUCCAGGGAGAGGCCUUCUACUUUUCGGUCCACCAGGAACAGGUAAAACAAUGAUUGGUAAAGCUAUUGCUGGAGAGGCAAAAGCAACCUUUUUCUACAUAUCUGCCAGCUCAUUGACGAGCAAGUGGAUUGGCGAAGGUGAAAAAUUGGUGAGGGCCCUGUUUGGUGUUGCCAGCUGUCGCCAGCCUGCUGUAAUUUUUGUUGAUGAAAUAGAUUCACUUCUCUCUCAGCGCAAGUCUGAAGGUGAACAUGAAUCAAGUAGACGACUCAAAACACAGUUUCUCAUUGAAAUGGAAGGUUUCGAUAGUGGUAAUGAGCAAAUUCUGCUUAUAGGAGCAACAAAUCGACCCCAAGAACUUGAUGAAGCUGCACGGAGGCGACUCACUAAAAGACUUUAUAUCCCCUUGCCUUCAUCAGAGGCGAGAGCCUGGAUUGUGCGUAAUCUUCUAGAGAAGGAUGGUUUGUUCAAGCUUUCCAAGGAGGAAAUUGAUACCAUAUGCAAUCUGACAGAAGGGUAUUCAGGAUCAGACAUGAAAAACCUAGUGAAAGAUGCAUCCAUGGGUCCAUUGAGAGAAGCUCUUAAACAGGGCAUAGAAAUUACUAAACUCAAAAAGGAGGAUAUGCGGCCGGUUACCCUUCAGGACUUCGAAAAGGCUUUGCAAGAAGUGAGACCCUCUGUUUCUUCGAGUGAACUCGGCACAUAUGAUCAAUGGAACAAACAAUUUGGAAGCUUGUCACUCUAGGAUAGGAUAGUCUGAAAACUGUAGAGUAAAAGCAAGAUGCAAAAACCAUCUAUGAGUGGUGGUGUGCAUACACCUGGUGUAGCAAUACAUUGCUGAUCCCUAUUACACUUCUUCAAUGUACCUUAAUAAUAUUUGUGAAGUGCACUAAUACACACAGGAUUGGUUGGUUCUAGUAACACUGAUUUUCUGUCUUUUGGCAAAAUAAGAGAUUAUUAGGCUGCAAGUGCAUAUAAAGCAGG